GUUCAAGAGCUGCGACGCAAAGUACCUGGCUGGUCGCACGGCAACCCUCCUCAUCGAGCGGGGUGCCCCAGGGGAAGAACCGACCCGGACAAAAGUCCCGGGUAAGUCGGUGGG
rnacentral:ncRNA from 2 species